rnacentral:misc_RNA from 1 species
UUUCUUCCAUUGUUACAAGUGUGGUAAAGCUGCAGCUUACAUGAAUUUUGCAACUUUUUUCUUUUUAAAUUUUUAUCAUUUGAAUCCAUAUCAUAAGAUGUGACGAAAUUUUUACGCUGGUUAUCACCUACCGCAAUCAUCCUCUUUUAUCUGGAUUUGGGACCGACUAAACUCAAACAACUUAGGCGGAGUUCAUCUCAAGUCUUAAUAGAUAUAAAAAUGUCAGUAAUAAAAUAAGAUGCACAAAAUUGUCUUCCUACAUUCUCUUACAAAUUUUCAAUCUAAUGCUUAGCUGUUGUAUACAUUUGACUUACAAAAGUUGGAAUGGGAAACUUGCACCUUGAGCCCCUUUUGUUAAAAUACUAGCUAGCUGUACUCUUGGUUUCAUUAGUGGUUAACCACCAAAUUAAUCCUGUCUCAAAACCAAUUUCCUUUGACACAAGUUUAACACCACAAUAACUUGCAGACCUAACGCUAGAGCCUAUAUCUGUUGUAUUCUGUUGGCAUUCUUGCAUAUUGCACUGCAGCAUUUUAAAUUUGCAACCUAUAUUUGUGUCUCCUGAUAUUAUUUCUUAAUUUUGGUAGGCAAUUAAAACUGCCUCUCUCCUCAUAGGUAUUUUAAUUUGAGUACUAGUUGGUAACACGCUUGCAUCUUUAAUCUAAAACUGGGGCUUAUGCUCUUUUCAUGUUUGUCCUAACCUUGAGCUGGGGCCUCUCUUUCUUGAAUUCUAGGGUAUAGGGAAUGAUGAUCAU